UAUUAUUAAAAAGAUGGCCAAUUGUACAGUUGUGAUAAAUGUGAGAUUGAUUUUUUUUUAAAGAUUUUAUUUAUUUGAGAGAGAGAGAGAGAGAGCACAAAGGGGAGAGGGUCCAAGGGAGAAGCAGACUCCCUGCAGAGCAGGGAGCCUGAUGCGGGACUCGAUCCUGGGACUCCAGGAUUAUGACCCGAGCCGAAGGCAGUAGCUUAACCAACAGAGCCACCCAGGCACUCUAAACGUGAGAAUGAGAUGGUGCAUUACAUUGAUUAUUACAUAUAUGUAAAGCUGAGGUUAAUUAAUGAAAGUCCACUAUACAGAUUCGGGACAUAAAAACUCUCCUUGGGUUUUUGUGAAUUAUAGUGAUUACAGAUUAUUAUUAAUGAAUUAAUGAUCAAUAAACAAAUGGAAUUGAAUGAAGAAAAAGAGGGACAAUACUGGAUCGAUGAUGACCACUGGUGGCGUAUGAGUUAUGUACGAUGAAUACGUGUCUGGAACUCUGAGGUCCAAAAGAAGAGAAAUCUAGUCCAUUCCCUUUUUUAAAAGCGAUUCUACAUACAGAGGUCAGGAAUACACAGAGAUCUUUUUGGCCUUUGUGCUCAUGGUUUUUCAUUCCAUUAUUAUAAUUGGAUAAGUGAAUUGAAAGAAAGAAAGAGAAAAAGAAAGAGAGAAAGAUAAGUGGAGUGAACCGUUGUCCAAUUAUAAAAAUCUGUGAUCAGGCAAGAAAUGCUGUGGAUAUAUUUUCAAAACACUGAAGUUCAACAGCAUAUGACUGUUACUUCUUAGAUUAGGGAGAGUAUAGACAGUAUAAAUUAUAGACAGUGUUUAUGUUUUGGGUCAGUGGCAAAUUCAAAAUUGUUUUCUUAAGAGAAAAUGAAAUAAAUACACUUGAAAUUAAUGAUUGCACAAAUGACUGUCUAAAUUAAAGAAGAAAGGCAAGGAUCAGUUGAGAGAUGGCAUAAUUUUUUUUCAUCAUCUGUUCUGCUCUGUACUCCUCAGAAUGGGCACACUUGAGCUGAUGUCAGCAUCUUUCAUGGUCUUGAGCUCCUGGUUCCAUGUAUUUGUUAGAGGCAUGGAGACCAAACCUUAGAACGGACACCCUUGAGCUGAUGGAAGAUCCUCCAGGGUCGUGAGCUCCAUGGUUACAUCUCUGCUUUAGGAGCAUGGAGAUCAAUAAUGGGCACUGCCACACCAAUUCUGGCAUUCUGCCAUGGCCUCAAUGGCUGUCUUAGGAGCAUGGAGACCGGAGUGUAGUGGACACACUUGAGCUGAUUCUAUAAUGAUCAAGACCUUUAUUGUUCAGUGAUGGAUGCACCGUAGCUAAUUAAAUUACUCUCCAAUCAUGAAGAUCUUUGCCUUAUCCCUGUGGGAAGGAGCAUAUCAUGCUACUCAUUAUAUUUAAUGAUGAAGAUCCUGACUGACCGAUGUGGCCAAGGACAGUAUAGAUUGGGGUAAGUAGUAGAUUAAGUUUUUAUUCUUGGUUUCGUCCUUUUAUUCAUGGAUGAUGACUGUAUUGUUUAAAAAGAAUAAAUGGCUUCAUGCAAUCAUAAAUUGAAAUCAAUGAAGACCAUUCAUGGACAAAUGAUAAGAAUUUAUCCUGAUAAGAUCGUGCUUAAUUCAUUUUUCAAAACUGAAAAAAACAAAACAAAACAGAUCUCCAUUCAAAAAAUAGAUUUAGACUACUCUCUCUCUCAGAUUAAGAAGAUUAUAGAUCUUUGUUCAGUGAGAAAUGGAAUAAAUGAUGAAUGAAAUAGAGAAUGAUUGAAUGACACAGUGAGGUAAUGAAUGACUGAGUCUUUGUGGAAACAAAAGGAAAUCUAUUGAUGAAAAUGUGAAGGAGUAUGCAAAUGUGUUAAUAAAUUAACAACGAGUUGAGUAAAUGGAUAUGUGCAUAAAUGCAUGUUGAAUUAAUUAAUGAAUUAAUGCGUGGAUGAGAGCACGUGUAAGUAAAAGUGUCAAAAGGAUAAUGAGUGAGUGAUGAAUGAAUGAGUCCGUGAGUGAAUGAGUGAAAGACUAGUUGCUCAAGGAGGACCAAUAAGUGAAGGAUGAGUGCACAAAUGGAUGCGAGAAUGAAUAAGUGAAUCCCCGAAUGAGCUCCUGAAUUACUAGAGAAUUGAAAAUUAACUAGUAAUGAGGGAAUGAAUGAACCGUGGGUCAAUGUAUGCAUCAAUGAGUGAAUAAGUAACCAAAUGAAUUAAGUAAUAAGCCAACAACUGAGUGGGUGAAGAAAUUAAUAAAUCAAUGAGAGAAGGAAAAAGUUGAAUAAUUUAACUAAUGUGUAAAUAAAUAAGUCCACAAAUGAGACAAAUUAAUGAGUGGAUGCAUUAGCAAGUGGAUGGAGGAAUGGAGUGGAUAUUAGAGUGAGUGAAUAAAAUAAUGAAUUAGUGAGUGAGUCAAUGAGUCAGUGGAUGGGAAUGUAAUCCAAGAACAACUUCACUGAAUGAAUGAGUAAAGGGGGGGGUCAAGAAAGGAGUGAGUGAGUCAGUGAUCCAUGUGUGAGGCAGAGCAUGAGUGAGCUCACACUGGGAUCCCUUCCCCGACCUCUCCAGAGAGAGCUCGCCACACCCCAACCUCACGGCAUGCUGGGAAUGCCAGUACGUUGUAAACAGCUUCACAGGAGCGCCCAUGCUACUCCAUCAUGGGCAUUGGUGUACAUGUCAUCACUAGAUGGAUGUGCCCCGAGAGCCAGGAACCGGGUCACAUUCUUCUCUGGAGCCUAGGAGGCGCCCAGUAAAUUAUUGCUGAAUGAAUUAAUGAAGAACUAAAAAUACAUGUGCUUUUGUGGAACCGGGAUGGCCCUUCUCAGAAUGGUCUGGGAACUGUGCUGUGGGGAAGUGUGCUGUGUGUCAGAUGGUCUGUGGCAUCCUCCUACGCAAGUGCAGAUUCUCCCUUGGGUCUGGCUUCUAGGGUUCAGUGCCAGACAGUGAGACAGGAUACUGGCAGUUCUGACUACCCUGGACCUUGGCCCAUCCUUGGGCAACGUUGGCUUGCCAUUGGGGAAUCAAAGUCCUGGGUCUUCCCGAAAGCUGCCCUUGCGUCUGCCAAGACUGGAGGUCGAAAAUAACCUGGUCUUGUUUUUAUGCCUCCAGCAAGUGGGCCAGCUCCUUGCCCGUGCAAGCAAGCCGAGUUCCUCUGGUUGUCGUUGUAGGACUUUGGGUUAGACUUAAGGUGCCUCUGGACCUCCAGUCUCAGCAUCAUCCGCUCGAUAAGGGUAACAGUUGUUAUGGGAAUUAACCUUGUCUAGCAGGAGCUUAUUAGAAUGUCCACACUAUGGUACUUGGGAGGGAAUAGAAGCCUCAGAAAUCACCUAAAGUAGCUGUAAUUGAAUGGUUUCA